rnacentral:lncRNA from 1 species
GAUAAUUCUGGAACUAAGACUAUUCCGGCGCGCUAACUCUUCACACACGACUCUUUCACUGAUCACGUGUACAAAAAAAACAACGACGGGAGAUUCCAUAUUUACAAAAUGUCUGGCAGAGAAGGAGGAAAGAAGAAGCCUUUGAAGCAGCCCAAGAAGAAGGGAAAUGAUUUAGAUGAUGAUGAUUUGGCUCACAAGCAGAAAUUAAAAGACGAGCAGAAGAAAUUAAAGGAGGCUCAAGCCAAUGCUUCCAAGAAAGGACCUAUGGGUUCUGGUGGCAUCAAGAAAUCAGUUGGCAAGAAGGGUAAAUGACCCCAAUCUCCACCAAGUAGAUACCUGCUGAUCGUUUCGCACCAAGCAACCAACCAGCAGGAACGAAUAACAUUGCCGCUUCAAACUUCAAUCUUACACACUAUCUUUACGAGAAACUUGAAUCUCACAUGUCUUUGGAGAAGAUGGCAUUAUGACUUUGAUAUCACACUUCUCCUCCUAUAUCCUUCAUGUUCCUCAUCCUUAUUACAGCUACAGUGAAACCUGUAAAGAAAGACCAUCGGAUGGAGAAACAAAACGUUAGGCAGGUGAUCUUUGUACAAAGUGUCCUUAAACACAUGUUUCAAUGAGAACCACCAAUGGAGGGAAACAAAAAUGGUGGUCUUUCUAUACAGGUGGUUGCUGAAGUAGCUUUGACUGUAUAUUUGGUAGUUUUUCCUUCUCCCGCUUCAGAAAACAUUUUUUGUGUGUUGCCUAUACAAACUUCGAACAGCUAUUUGAAUUUCAUUUUCCUAUUUUUAAAACUUUACUAGUGCCAUUUAAAAGAAGAAGACAUACGGUAUUGAUUCAAACUGAGGCAACUUUCUCAAUAUUCCUCUGCAUGUUCUAAUCUCAUGAUUAAAAUUGAAUUACAGUGUAGUAUAUUUUUGUUCUUUUGUGAGGAUUGUACAAUUUAGAUAACAAAUUCAAUAAGAACGUUUAAAUCAUUAGGAAUUAGUCCUGUAAGACAUCCAAAAGGUAAUGGAUGAGACAGUUUUGAUAUCUGUGGGUCAGGGACCUUUCUCAGACGUGAGUUGCGUAACUUAAGUUUGUCAGUACAACAUAUCUAAGGAAUUCACUACGUAAAGUGGGUUGGCCCAUUACAUAUUAGCGUUAGCUCGUUUCUAUAAAUUCAAUGAUCAGCAUCUAUUCUUUUCUCUGGCACAUUUAUUUGUUAGAAAUAAAUCUGGUUAUUUAUGAGGAUUAUAUUCUAUUUCCGGUACACACUACACUACAUUCCUCUUUGGAAAGAUUUUGACAUGGAGAAGUUUCACAAAAGACAAGUAUUAGUACUUUUUGUUGAUAUACAGGAUAAAUAGGGAUUUCUGUAUUGACAUUUCUUAUAUAAUUUGCAUCAAUAUGAAGGAUCAUGAUUAUAUUUUCCUCUUUGUAUUUCUGUCAGUGUUAUACUUGUACAUAAAAUAGGGUACAAGAAUAUUACAGAUAACAAGAAAUUUGCAAUAGAAAUGGGCAUGUUGUUUAAACUUUACACUUUACCAUUAGAAAUAAGACGAUCAUCAUCAGUUGAAAUAUUUAAGAAGAAACUUAAGCACCAUUUGUUUAUGUCGUAGUUUUAAUAUUGUAUAAUUAUUUUGAUGUUGUACAAGAGCGCCUUGAGCAGUCUUUUAGAAUGGAUAUGUACGCUUUAUAAAUUGACAUUAUUAUUAUUAUUAUUAUUAAACUAAUUGCAUGGAAUCAUGAUUAUUAUACAAGAACAUUGGGAAUGUUGUAAAGUUUGAGUAUUUCAAAAUCUUGGACAUCUAACGGUGAAGACACUCCCUUUGUAAACGUAACCGAUUCAUACCUUAUGGGAAUUUUGAUAGCACCCAAAGUAGUAUGAAAAGGAGGGUGUUGGUUUCAAUAGACAUAUUUGACAAUACCAAUUUGUCUUUUCUUGAAAUAUACUUAUGAUUGCAAACAUGAUAUCAGUGUAAUGGCACGUAGAUAUCAAUCUUUUCAUGCAACAACUGUUUAUAGAUUGUAUGCUCUUCGUUUUGUUCACUGCAUUGGGACAGACAAGCCUGCUGCCAUGAAUUGUCAUUAAUCUGAGAAAUUUGUAGUUUGAUCACACUCUAUCAAGAAAGUCACAUUUGCAGACUGCUUCAAGAUGGUCAUGUUAAGAUGAAACGAUAGUACAAGGCAAAUGCAUUGUGAAAUAGUAUUCCAAUUCCACCACUAGGACUGGAUUGUCUAUUUAAUUUUACUUGAUUUUUUUUUCCUCUCCUAAUUUAUCAUUAAACCAUUUCCUUUUCCCCCUUCUUUUUAUUACUUGCUGCUCAUACGUCAUGCCCUUAAUACUUAAUAGUCUGGAAUGUAAUGCAAAAUGACAAUCUAGCUUGUCCGGCUGCUAAGUACGAGCUUGACUGUUAUAUUGCAGCACUGCGUCAAAGAAGGUAAUCUUUUUGGAAAGGAAACAAGUGUACGAUAUUAUCUCUGGAAAUAAAUAAAUUCUUCAAUUUGUUUUUGUACAGAA